rnacentral:rRNA from 1 species
GACGAACGCUGGCGGCGUGCUUAACACAUGCAAGUCGAACGGAAAGGCCCUGCUUGCAGGGUACUCGAGUGGCGAACGGGUGAGUAACACGUGGGUGAUCUGCCCUGCACUUCGGGAUAAGCCUGGGAAAUUGGGUCUAAUACCGGAUAGGAGCCAUUUUUAGUGUGAUGGUUGGAAAGUUUUUUCGGUGUAGGAUGAGCUCGCGGCCUAUCAGCUUGUUGGUGGGGUAAUGGCCUACCAAGGCGGCGACGGGUAGCCGGCCUGAGAGGGUGGACGGCCACAUUGGGACUGAGAUACGGCCCAGACUCCUACGGGAGGCAGCAGUGGGGAAUAUUGCACAAUGGGCGCAAGCCUGAUGCAGCGACGCCGCGUGGGGGAUGACGGCCUUCGGGUUGUAAACUCCUUUCGCUAGGGACGAAGCUUUUUGUGACGGUACCUAGAUAAGAAGCACCGGCUAACUACGUG